AACAACAGGAGAGGCAAGCAGAGCACAGUAGGAACUGAAUGGGGUUUGCGUGAAAGAAAAAUCCAGGGAAAGGUGUCCUGCAGAACGUGCACGGUUGCCUCCCUUGAACACACCUGAAUUUGCCAACAUCCCUCUUAAAAAGAGGCACCAAGAGGAAUGCAGAAGGCCAGCAUGCAAUGCUAUAGCCCAAGUUCCAUGCCAGCACUUGAACUUUGAGAUGCUCUUAGCUUUUCUAGCAGUCAUAAGGCACUUUUGCCCAAGACCAAGCUUGCAGUCAGGGAAAGCCUCCAGGUUUUUCGAAAUGGCCUUGAACAGGUUUUAAGCCAGCUCUCUUGCUUUUAAUCAGAGGUCAUUUGGCCAAGUUGCAGCCUGUUGUUCCAGCCCAGGAUUUCUCCACCUAAGCAGAUACUUCUAAUUGGGGAGAGUGGAGAAGCGGCAACUUCAAUUGUCCCCCCUGACAUCUGGGGUUGGAUAAUUCUUGUUGCAGAGAGGCUGUCCAGUGCAUUGUGAGAACUUUACCAGCAACCCGGGCCUCUGCCCCCUAGAUGCCAGUGGCAUUCCCCUCGCACCCCCUGAAAUGUUCUAGACACUGACAAAUGUCAUCUGGGGGCAAGAUCACCACCUUUCUAGUAUAAUUCAAUCAUCUAAAAAUAGGCCAUUUUUUGGACUAUUUGGAGAAAUCCAAGACUCUGAAGGAAUGAAUAAUGUUUCUUAAAUAUCUCUGUUCUUUCUACAAAUCCAAUGACUAGAGAGAGGUGGAAAUAAUGAACUGAGAAAGACAUAAGGUCAGGAACUGAGAACUACACAUCAAAUAGAUUUUCCAUAUGUCUGAUGUUCUAAAAUGCAGAGUGAAUACUCAGACCCUAUUACACAGGAUGACAAAGUCUAUGAAUAAAAUGUUUACUUCCUGAUGGCAAAAAUAAAAUUAUUCAUUUCAUUCUCCUACCAUCAUGCAUGACUAGCUCUGGACAAAUAUAAAUGGGUCUGAUGAAGAAUGUAUUUUAAGAGGCUCACUGUGGAUGGCAAUGGAAUACUGGCUUUCUAUGCAAUUAAAUACAUGUUUACAGGGUGUUUGCUAUGUAUAAAGCCCAUGUGGGCAACAUGGUGGAUGCAAGGAUGAUUAUGAUGCAAUUCCUGUGCAGAGGCCGUGUUUCUCAAAUGGUGCACACACGGCACCCCUAGAGUGGAAAACUUGGGGUGUGCAUGGAUGAAUGCUGAAUGGACCGUACUGAUUAUAGAGGGAGUCCGCUGGGGGAACCCUCAUAGAUUGGAAGAGAAAGUAGAUGAAGGUUAAUAUCUCAGGUUCCUGUGUCUGCUAUGCAAAAGACCACAGACCUAGUGGAUUAAAACAACUCAGAUUUAUUCUUAUAGUCCCACAAGUCAGAGUCUAAAAUUAAGAUGUUGGCAGGGCUGUGUUCCUUUUAGAAUCUUCAGGGCAGAAUUUGUUUCUUUGCUCUUUCCAGAAUCUAGAGAUGCCUGCAUUCCUUGACCUCUGGAUUCUUCCUUAUGUGGCUCCAAUGACUUGCUUUUGUGAUUGCAUCUCCUUCUCUGACUCUGACCCUCCUGCCUCCAUUUUAAUUUUUUAAUUUAAUUUUUAUUUUUUAAUUUAAUUUUUUGAGACAGGGUCUCGCUCUGUUGCCCAGACUAGAGGGCAGUGGCAUGAUCUUGGCUCAUCACAACCUCCGCCUCCUGAGUUCAAACCAUUUUCCUGCCUCAGCCUCCUGAGUAGCAGAAACUACAGGUGUAUGCCACCACACUCAGCUAAUUUUUGUAUUUUUAGUAGAGAUAGGUUUCACCACAUUGGCCAGUCUGGUCUUGAACUCCUGGCCUCAAGUGAUCCACCAACCUCAGCCUCCCAAAGUGCUGGAAUUACAGGCAUGAGCCACCGCGCUUGGCCCUGCCUCCUUCUUAUAAGGACUUUUAUGGUGAAAAUGGGUGUAUCCUGAUGAUCUAAGGUCGUCUAAAGACCUUUCAUCUAAUCAUAGCUGCAGAGUCCUUUUUACUGUAUAAGGUAAGGACUAGGAUGUGGACAGCUUUGGGGAGUGGAGGCGGUGUGGGCGUUACUUAGCCUAGCAUGGUUAGCAGGAAGAGAGGCCACAAAGGCUAUGAAUUCAGAGAAGAGGACACUCAUGAUAGAGAACCUAGACAGAAAAAGACAGAAAGAGAACAAAGCAUGCUGAGGGGUGAGUAAGCCAAGGGCGUUGGGGAAUUUCAGUUAAGAAAGUGAAAGGACUGGCUUAACCCCACUUCCAGAAACCUGAACCACCAUGCUACCUCCUCUGGCUAAUGCCAUUAUAAUGAGGUUGAACCCAAGCAAAUGAAAAACACAUUUGAAGAACAUGUGGAAGCACACGUCUGGUUGACUGUCCCUUACGGUGAGGUCCUGGGAAGUAUUUGAGAGGAGCUUGUGCUGCAAGGCAUGUGGCCAUGAGCAAAAGGACGCUUUUGUCGUCUGCAGGGAUGUGUUGGUUCUCCCGGUGGCUUUGGGUGGAUCCUCUAUGGGUGGUGAGUCUUGCACUUGAUAAGGCACUCUGGCUUGCCUGUUCUUCCCAUCAGCACUGCUGGCUGGAAGAGCCUUGGCUGGGAAACAUGGAGCUCAUGCCUUCUGGUGCCCUGGGCAAGUUGCUUGGGAAUAAUGGUCAUGGUGGCAGCUGCUGCUUAAGCUGCUCCCCAUUCCCCUUGCCAACUCACAGGAGGAUGAGUCCAAAGAGAAGGUGUCAUUAGGGUAGAAGGAAAAUAAAGUAUUCUUGCCUUCUCCUCAAAAUUCAACUUUCCCAGCUCUUUUUUUUUUUUUUUUUUUUUUGCCUUUAGGGUCUCUCACCAAAGAUGAGUCCCACUCAGUUCACUUUAACUUCAUUAUUUCAUCUCACUCUUUCUCCUUCCCUCUUUCUCGCUUUCUAUUUGUUCACUCAAUGACUUUUUAUUGAACGGCCACCAGAUCAAUAGCACAGUGCGGCAUGUCAGGGAUAUGAUACACGGGGAAUCUAAGAGCUGAUCUCUGUCUUAUAGGAACUCAGCCAGAAUAGGGAAGAGUAGUAGAACAGGGGAUCAGCAAUUAUUUUAAACAUUUCAAUAAUAUUUGUUUUAAAGUGAAUGGUAAAAAUAUAGCUGGCAUAUCACAGAUAUUAUUGCUAAGUUAAAAGAAAGACAAGUCAAAUUAAAGUCAACUUAAAAGCAUUCAGUGAAUGACAGUACACAGAGAGCAGAUAGGUUACAGGAGAUGAAGGUGCCUGGUGUUUGGAAAUGUUUGGAUAAAGCAAAAUGGAAAUGGCUAAGACAAAGAAGGAGGUAAUAAUGGCCUAAGAAAGUUAUAAAAUAGAAUGGAGGAAUUCAAGGAGAAAGAGAUUACUUCCUACUCACCGAAAGUGUUACGGACCAUGCAGUAUUUGAAACUGACCUAGAAAGACCAACAGGAUUGUGAUGGGUGGAGGCAGGAAGGGAAAUAUUUUAGGAAGAGUGACUGACAGUCAAGUUCUGGAGCGUGAACAUGCAUGGCAUAUUGGGAAGCGGGAACAGUACACCCAUAUUCUGCUUUCCAUCUUGUAUCCUUCUUAGUCCUGCAAAUGUCCAGAGUAGAUGUGCUGUUUAUCCAUUUCUCCUUCUUUGUGGGGACACCUGCAUUUUCCCAUGAGUUUACCCCAUUCUUCAUGUAGCCUUGCUGAGACUUUCCAUUAUGGUGCCUCUCUCUCCUAUAGUGAAGGGAUGAAGUGAGUCCGACUCAAGACAGGCCACCCAGGACUUAAUAUGCUGGGAGCGUACAAUGUUUUCAGAGAGACAUAAGGAUGGAAAAUACUUGGAGCUGAUUUGUCCUGAUCGUGAGAGCCUAAAAAUAUCAUCCAUUCAUCCCAGGAACCUAGAUCGCUGAAGCAGCUUUUUCCGGCAUUCCUGAAGCUUGCUUCAUCCUAUUUUUCUUUGCUUCUCUAUGUCUUGUGUGUGUGUGCACACACAUGCCUGCAUAUGUGUUUUCUUCUCUUCAUAAGGUUUGGUUUCCAUGGCUUGCAACCAAAGAAAUGAUUGUAUAGCCUGACAUAAUCAGUCAGCAAUCACAGUCAUUUUACAAAUAACACAGCAGUAAAGGGUUCACUGAUUUCCCCAUGCCACAGAGCUAAUGAGCAAUGAAGCUGGAAUCUGAACUCAG
rnacentral:lncRNA from 1 species